rnacentral:rRNA from 1 species
UACGUAGGGGGCUAGCGUUGUCCGGAUUUAUUGGGCGUAAAGCGCGUGUAGGCGGCCAGGAAGGUCUGCUGUGAAAACUCGAGGCUCAACCUCGAGAUGUCGGCGGAAACCAUCUGGCUAGAGUCCGGAAGAGGAGAAUGGAAUUCCCGGUGUAGCGGUCGAAAAUGCGCAGAUAUCAGGAGGAACACCGGUGGCGAAGGCGGGUCUCCUGGGCCGAUGACUGAGC